rnacentral:rRNA from 1 species
GACGAACGCUGGCGGCGUGCUUAACACAUGCAAGUCGAACGGAAAGGCCCUGCUUUUGUGGGGUGCUCGAGUGGCGAACGGGUGAGUAACACGUGAGUAACCUGCCCUUGACUUUGGGAUAACUUCAGGAAACUGGGGCUAAUACCGGAUAGGAGCUCCUGCUGCAUGGUGGGGGUUGGAAAGUUUCGGCGGUUGGGGAUGGACUCGCGGCUUAUCAGCUUGUUGGUGGGGUAGUGGCUUACCAAGGCUUUGACGGGUAGCCGGCCUGAGAGGGGGACCGGCCACAUUGGGACUGAGAUACGGCCCAGACUCCUACGGGAGGCAGCAGUGGGGAAUAUUGCACAAUGGGCGGAAGCCUGAUGCAGCAACGCCGCGUGCGGGAUUACGGCCUUCGGGUUGUAAACCGCUUUCGCCUGUGACGAAGCGUGAGUGACGGUAAUGGGUAAAGAAGCACCGGCUAACUACGUG